UGAGCCUGAGGAAGCGGCGGACGCUGAGUUCCUCGGGAUGCACGUGAAUCAUACAGAGUCACCCUACAGUUCAUUGGCAAGUUCAUGAAAGACUACAGCCAAAGAAUUUCAAAUCCCUCGAUUGGGAUUGAGACUCAGGUGGCACGGUGUGAAAGGAGGACGACCGUUCUUGCAUGGGAUUUCUGUUCUCCUUAAUAAUUAAACCAUAUUUCUGAGGGCAGUCGACUUCCUCUAAAUUUAUGGAAACAAAGUGCAAAACCGUCAUGGCUUAUCAGUGAAAUAUCUGCUGAGACUCAGCAGGUUUACUGAAAACUGAACUUUCAUCUACCUACAUGAAGAGCCUCAAGAAAUGUGAAAAAAUUUGUCUUGGAAGCUUUUUGUCUGAAGUGGCCAGGAGAGCUCUUGACAAUCCAGUUUAAAAGGACACGGUCUUCCCACCAAUUUCCUUGAACAGCAGCACGACAAAGUCAUACGAAUGUAGCUGCUACGUUCACCACAUACAUAUGAUGCUAUGCUGAAGUUAUGACUGUUAGCAGCAAACUAGUGAUUGAUUUGCGUCUCUUUCACCUUUGACAGGAUACUGAUGCUUGUAGUAUUAUGAUUUCUUGACAGAUGUGUAUAUGAAUGUGCCUAUGGACUUAAACGGACCCUUCUGCUGUUUUGGGACUAUUAGUGUAAUGAAUGGGAAUGUUACACCGUAUCUUAACUUAGUUUUCGAUCUCUGUUCAUACGUUAUAUCGCUUCCCUGCUGUGAUAAUUUAGCCAUGCUGGUUUAAGAUUCUGAAAAACGAACAUAAUUUGACGCCUCUGAUUGCCAU